UACGGGGGGGGCAAGCGUUGUUCGGAAUUACUGGGCGUAAAGGGCGCGUAGGCGGCCUUCUAAGUCGGACGUGAAAUCCCUCGGCUCAACCGGGGAACUGCGUCUGAUACUGGAUGGCUUGAGUUCGGGAGAGGGAUGCGGAAUUCCAGGUGUAGCGGUGAAAUGCGUAGAUAUCUGGAGGAACACCGGUGGCGAAGGCGGCAUCCUGGACCGAUACUGACGCUGAUGAGCGAAAGCCAGGGGAGCAAACGGG
rnacentral:rRNA from 1 species